GGGCCCGCACAAGCGGUGGAGCAUGUGGUUUAAUUCGAUGCAACGCGAAGAACCUUACCUACCCUUGACAUCCUGCGAAUCUGAUAGAGAUAUCGGAGUGCCUUCGGGAAUGCAGAGACAGGUGCUGCAUGGCUGUCGUCAGCUCGUGUUGUGAAAUGUUGGGUUAAGUCCCGUAACGAGCGCAACCCUUGUCCUUAGUUGCCAGCGAUUCGGUCGGGGACUCUAAGGAGACUGCCGGUGACAAACCGGAGGAAGGUGGGGACGACGUCAAGUCAUCAUGGCCCUUACGGGUAGGGCUACACACGUGCUACAAUGGUUGGUACAGAGGGAAGCGAGACCGCGAGGUGGAGCAAAUCUCAGAAAGCCAAUCGUAGUCCGGAUUGCAGUCUGAAACUCGACUGCAUGAAGUCGGAAUCGCUAGUAAUCG
rnacentral:rRNA from 1 species